CCUUACUUGAACAGGAUCUGUUCUAUAGGCUCGUACCUCUGUAUCUUUGAAUUCUAAAGAGACAGGAAACCAAGUCUGGGGGAAGAAUUAUGUCCGCUUGGCCAGAGCGUGAUUAAUAGCUCGGUGGCUCUGGUUUGGGUCAUAGGUGCGGUAGAGGAUCGUUCUCAGUCGGUAAACUCGGCUGGGAUGGUCAAGCGGAUGUCUGACAGAC
rnacentral:snoRNA from 1 species